rnacentral:tRNA from 1 species
GCAGUUGUGGCCGAGUGGUUCAGGCGAUGGACUAGAAAUCCAUUGGGGUCUCCCCGCACAGGUUCGAAUCCUGUCGACUGCG